rnacentral:rRNA from 1 species
GACGAACGCUGGCGGCGUGCUUAACACAUGCAAGUCGAACGGAAAGGCCCUGCUUUUGUGGGGUGCUCGAGUGGCGAACGGGUGAGUAACACGUGAGUAACCUGCCCUUGACUUUGGGAUAACUUCAGGAAACUGGGGCUAAUACCGGAUAGGAGCUCCUGCUGCAUGGUGGGGGUUGGAAAUUUUCGGCGGUUGGGGAUGGACUCGCGGCUUAUCAGCUUGUUGGUGGGUUAGUGGCUUACCAAGGCUUUGACGGGUAGCCGGCCUGAGAGGGUGACCGGCCACAUUGGGACUGAGAUACGGCCCAGACUCCUACGGGAGGCAGCAGUGGGGAAUAUUGCACAAUGGGCGGAAGCCUGAUGCAGCAACGCCGCGUGCGGGAUGACGGACUUCGGGUUGUAAAACGCUUUCGCCUGUGACGAAGCGUGAGUGACGGUAAUGGGUAAAGAAGCACCGGCUAACUACGUG